CAGCUGGAUUGGCUCCGUGAGGCCCGAUAGUUCAAAGCCCUGCUGGGAUGGUCUCAGGUCCCACCAAACCUGCAGAGGAAAAGCAGGUUUGCCUGGAUGCUUGCCAGCACGAGAGUACGCACAGGCGCGCAGGUCGGAGCGUGCAGACGGCGCGAUGCCCGCAGAGAAAAGAAAGAUGACAGUAAUAAAGUAAAAGUGGAUUGCCAGAGGUCAUCCAGACCUGCAGUACAUGUUUGAACUGUAACGUACGACUGAAACAAAGAGGAUGCAACAGGUGAG